UACGGGGGGAGCAAGCGUUGUUCGGAUUUACUGGGCGUAAAGGGCGCGUAGGCGGCCAGCACAAGUCAGUUGUGAAAUCUCCGAGCUUAACUCGGAAAGGUCAACUGAUACUGUGCGGCUAGAGUGCGGAAGGGGCAAAUGGAAUUCUUGGUGUAGCGGUGAAAUGCGUAGAUAUCAGGAAGAACACCCGUGGCUAAGGCGGUUCUCUAGUACGGUACUGACGCUGAGACGCGAAAGCGUGGGGAGCGAACAGG
rnacentral:rRNA from 1 species